rnacentral:lncRNA from 1 species
UCUACCCUUGAAUCCCCUUUUCUCUCAAUUCUCUCUGAAACUCCUACAAACCCUAGCCAUCGCCACACUAAUCUGCCCUAAUCCAUGGCCUUCCAAAGUCAUCAGAGACCUGUAUCAACCUCUCAUAGCUUCUGUGUGUUUGUUUCUGUGGUCUCAUGACCAAGUUCUAAAGAGGCUUUGUUCAGUCUUGCUCGAUGACUGUUCUCCGGUCGUCUGUUACCUUUUUCUGGCCAGCCAUGGUCAUUCGAGUCAGACCUUUGACUCUCCUACUUAGAUCAAUAGUUUUCAAGGCCUUCCUCAUCACUUGGGAUUCUUCUAAAACCUUAAUCUCUAAGUUCCUUUCGAUUUCUUUAUGGUCUAUUUUAAAUCUAUGUUUUCUUUUAACUUCUAAGAACUUUUCUCGAAGUUUCUUUUAAAACUUUUCUUUCAAAACUCCUUAUCUUUUCCUAUUAAGGUUCUUAUUGAGUUAUUUCAAAAAACUUCUCUGAUUUUUUGACAUGUUUUUGCUAGGUUUGCUCAUAUCAUCCUUCUAAAUAAGUUUGCAUGUUAAAAGCCCCAAUUUCGUUUGACUGUUUAGUAGGCGAAUGCUUGUUUGCUUGAGUUUUUGUCCGAUUUGUUUGUUUAUCCUCUUUUAAAACUCUACUGUGGUUGAAGAUCCUAUGGCUUGGAGUCUGAGACUGUUUGUAUAAGUAUAUGACUCGAUUUGAAGUACUUUAAUUCGAGAACUUUUAUUCCUUUGUGUGAUUCUUCUGGUUCUGGGUUUCUAUCUUCUCUAAAGCUCGAUUAUGCUCGAAACCCUUAUUUUUCAAAAGGGGUUUUCCUCACCUGCUACUGUGAGAUCUUCACAUGCUUUUGAUAUCUAUGUUUUCCUCACUACUGAUUCGAUGUGACUUGACCUAUUGGACUACCAUGCUGGGCUAAUAAUUCAUGCUAUUUCCUUUUGCCCACAGGCUUAGCCUCGCAUAUAUAGUGUUUGUGUACCCUAUUUAUAUGUUGAGUUUCCUUCUUUGACUGAUCUUCAAACUUGUGACUAGUUUCAAACUAUGCCUUUGUGAAAUUCUGACUUCACUCGCCAGUUAAGGUUAAUUGAUUUCUUUUCCUGUUUUUCCUUACUAAAUCCUUUCUAAAAUUAGAGUAUUUCCGUACCUAGACUCAACUGCUUACUUAAUAUUUUACUACUUCUUUUAUGGCAACUUUUAGCCUGCUUAAAAGUUAAUCUCUUUCCUUAUUUUGAACAUGUCACUUCCUGUUAAGCAAGUGGUCCCUUAAUUAAAGACAAUCACUUGUAUAAUUGAUUCUGAAUUGUGAUUGUUCCAUGUUUGUAACUUAUUAAUUCUCUUUUAUUCGUUUUCAAAAACUAUAAAUACCCUGUACUUUUUUUCUUUCAAAGACACGAGGACAAGGCAAAAAAACCUAAGUUCAAAAACACACUCCACCAAAUCUCUCUGUUAUUCUGUUACUACUAUAUUGCUACCUUACCUAGCCGCUGAAAGCCAAGGCUAGGCUGUGGGAAACGUGCUUAUUUUUUGUGCAUUUACAUUUCUUACCGGUAUGUUCUAAUUAGGCUUCUGCACCAGUAACAACAUGCUUAUUUACUGUUUCUUGAUUCUUGUUGUCUACUAUUUGUAUUUAACCCAGUUCCAUUAUUAAACAUGUUGUAAUUUCCCCUUUUCCUAUUCUGAAUUAAUGUAUUAUGACUUGUAAAUGCUAAAUCCCUACCCCCAACGUAUUUAAUACGUGUGUUUGGUUUGGGGUAUGAUAGCAUUGGACAUUGUUGGGCAUGACCCAAACCAAAUUCCCCUAGGAUCAUAAUAACCUCUGUGUUUCUCUCACAUGGUGUGUGUUCUGAUUGGUUUACAGGCAUGUCAGCACUUUUUAUUGAUGUGUAUGCCCAAACCUAACCCAUGCCUAAGUGUAUGGGCUCCUUACUAUAGAUUCCCAAUCCUUGGGCCUCUUUGUAUGAAGUUAUUAACUCUAUGAAAUGCUAAUGGUUGUCCCCUUACCACUCUUUCCCCUCUCCUUUAUUCCCUGAAUUUUUAAAUUUCUGUUUCUACACUUUCACUAUCUUCUUAGACAUAAGUUCUACCCCCUUAUGUGAGCCUUGCCUUGGGACCCAUGAGCUCCCUCUUAACUUGGAAACAUAAGGAAUGGUAUUUCCACACUACAUUCAUCUCUAUUCUGGUUAUGUAUCUUGGGUGUGAGUACUGUCCGGGGUCCUUUUGAGACCCUUAGGGAAUUCUGACACGCUCAAGUCUGAGAAAGGCUUUGGAUCAAUGGCAUUUGAGGUGGUUUAUUCUAUAACUCAAAGAGGAAGUCAAGAAUCACGCUUCCUCUGGUUGUAAAUUUUCUUUGUACUUCUCCGGUGUAAUUCACUUAUAAUAAACAUUUGAGGCUGGCUAGUGAAAAGGAGUUGGGUAACUAUGUAUGCUCAAGGGCAGAAAGGAUGCCUAUAGGACUGUUUUUAAAUUCUGCAUUUUUUAGAUACCAUGUUUAUAGGGUUUAUCUCAAUUUCUUCAUGAUCAAUUUCACACCUAGAUAACUUGCCUAUAGGACUUACGUAAAUUCAGCAUUCCACUUAGAUAUCAUGCUUUAGGUUCUAAUUCCUAAAGCAUGUCGUUUAGAAAUCAUGCUUUAGGUUAUGACUGAUAUCAUGUUCAUAAUGGCGAAAUCAGUAAUGUAUAGAAAUCAUGCCUAUAGUGAACCAGAUUUAUAUAACCUAAUUCCCAUACUUAACGGGGUUUAGCAAUCAUGCCUAUAAGAUCUCAGACAAUUUAUUUUGAGUUGUUACUGUUUCACCACAUUCUGAAUUAAUUAGAUAUCAU